AGGCGGACAAGUUAGAGUUUAGGUCUUUUAGAGCUCGGUUCAUAGGAUAUCUUAAAGAGUCAUUAGGAUACUAUUUCUAUAUUCUGGAAGAUCACAAUGUGAUUGUGAAUCGAUAUGCUAUUUUUCUUGAAAAAUAGUUUAUUCAAGAUAGUGGUAUCAGAAGAAUAAUUAAGCUCAAGGAGAAUAUCUCCCAAGAGCAACGAGCUAA
rnacentral:lncRNA from 1 species